UACGUAGGGAGCAAGCGUUGUCCGGAAUUCAUUGGGCGUAAAGCGCGCGUAGGUGGUCCCGUAAGUCCGCUGUGAAAGUCAAAGGCUACAACCUUUGAAAGGCCGGUCGGAUACUGUGGGACUAGAGUACGGAAGAGGCGAGUGGAAUUCCUGGUGGUAGCGGUGAAAUGCGCAGAUAUCAGGAGGAACACCGAUGGCGAAGGCAGCUCGCUGGGACGGUACUGACGCUGAGGCGCGAAAGCGUGGGGAGCAAACAGG
rnacentral:rRNA from 1 species